GGUUGGAUCAUUACUGAUAUCUUGCUGGUAGAGUUGAUACCGAAAGGAGUCCUCUACUAGCAGAAACCCCUUGUGCACCAUUAUGUUUUUUGGGUUGUCGAUGUUGGCCUCUGGCUAGCUUGGCAGCCCAACAAUUUGAACAAACGUUAAGAAUUCAGUCUGAUUUUAUCUAGUAAUAGAAACAACUUUUGACAACGGAUCUCUUGGCUCUCGCAACGAUGAAGAACGCAGCGAAAUGCGAUACGUAAUGUGAAUUGCUUUCCGUGAAUCAUCGAAUCUUUGAACGCACCUUGCACCCUUUGGGGUAUGCCUGUUUGAGAAUCUAUAGUAUUCUUUUCCCUAUGAAUUGUUUCGGCAGUCUGGGGAAAGAUAUGAAGUCUCCCUCUAGAGGGUACUUUUAAAAGAUUGUCUCUUGACGGUAGGGAAUGUUUGACAUACCUCCUAUCUCUUCAGAAAAGUAUGUGAAUGGAACUUUGUUUCUCAUAAUGCCUAAUACGAAGAGGGAGAUGUGGAGUUCCUGGCCACUGGAGAUCCAUAACCUAUAAGGCCUAGGCCUUGAACCAUGGUCUCAAAUCAGGUAGGAAGACCCGCUGAACUUAAGCAUAUCAAUAAGCGGAGGAAAAGAAACUAACAAGGAUUCCCCUAGUAACGGCGAGUGAAGCGGGAACAGCUCAAAUUUGAAAUCCUUAGGGAAUUGUAGUUUAGAGAAACGUUUUCUGUUGGAAGAUAGGUACAAGUUCUUUGGAACAAGACAUCACAGAGGGUGAAAAUCCCGUCUCUGACCUAUCGGAAGGCUUUGUGAUACGUUUUCGAAGAGUCGGUUUGUUUGGGAAUGCAGACCAAAAUGGGAGGUAAAUACCUUCUAAAGCUAAAUAUUGGCGAGAGACCGAUAGCGAACAAGUACCGUGAGGGAAAGAUGAAAAAGAACUUUGAAAAGAGAGUUAAACAGUACGUGAAAUUGUCAAAAGGGAAACGUUUGAAACCAGUAUUGCUUGCUUGAAUUCAGCUUUUAUUUAUAAGAGUGUAUUUUCUUGCGGCGAGUCAACAUCAGUUUAGUUUGGAGCAAAAAGCUAUGGAAAGGUAGCCUUCGGGUGUUAUAGUCCAUAGUCAUACUCUAGGCCGGACUGAGGACUGCAGCGUUUUUGCCUUCGGGACACCAACGCUUAGGAUGUUGACGAAAUGGUUUUUAAGCGACCCGUCUUGAAACACGGACCAAGGAGUCUAACAUAUAUGCGAGUAUUUGGGUGGUAAACCCUUAUGCGUAAUGAAAGUGAAAAGGUGGGGAUCCCUCAGGGUGCACCAUCGACCGCGCCAGAUUAUUACUAUCUCGGCGUGAGUAUGAGCAUAUAUGCUGGGACCCGAAAGAUGGUGAACUAUGCCUGAAUAGGGUGAAGCCAGAGGAAACUCUGGUGGAGGCUCGUAGCGGUUCUGACGUGCAAAUCGAUCGUCAAAUUUGGGUAUAGGGGCGAAAGACUAAUCGAACCAUCUAGUAGCUGGUUCCCUC
rnacentral:misc_RNA from 1 species